AAUAUACUGACCAUCACCUUCCAGAGCAAAGAGAAGUAGGAUGAUGUUCUGCUCAGGUCUGGAGAGUGGGAAGUAGGACAAAGAAGAGAUGUUAGCAGUAGAUGGCCCAGUGUGAAGUCUUUGUUGUGAUUCCGUGUUUCUCGUGGAUCUCUGGAGACAGCUUCCGGCUUGAGGAGAGAAUAUCAAUAGCCCA
rnacentral:lncRNA from 1 species